rnacentral:rRNA from 1 species
UGUGAGCUCGAUGAGUAGGGCGGGACACGUGGUAUCCUGUCUGAAUAUGGGGGGACCAUCCUCCAAGGCUAAAUACUCCUGACUGACCGAUAGUGAACCAGUACCGUGAGGGAAAGGCGAAAAGAACCCCGGCGAGGGGAGUGAAAAAGAACCUGAAACCGUGUACGUACAAGCAGUGGGAGCCCCACCACUAAGCCAGUGGUGAACUCCACAUACGCAUCCUUUGCUGAAGGUGCGGUUAACGGAGCGCAAGCGACGUUCAACCUCAAAAGAAGCAGAGGGGGCUUAGUGGUGGGGUGACUGCGUACCUUUUGUAUAAUGGGUCAGCGACUUAUAUUCUGUAGCAAGGUUAACCGCAUAGGGGAGCCGGAGGGAAACCGAGUCUUAAUUGGGCGUUAAGUUGCAGGGUAUAGACCCGAAACCCGGUGAUCUAGCCAUGGGCAGGUUGAAGGUUGGGUAACACUAACUGGAGGACCGAACCGACUAAUGUUGAAAAAUUAGCGGAUGACCUGUGGCUGGGGGUGAAAGGCCAAUCAAACCGGGAGAUAGCUGGUUCUCCCCGAAAGCUAUUUAGGUAGCGCCUCGUGAAUUCAUCUCCGGGGGUAGAGCACUGUUUCGGCUAGGGGGCCAUCCCGGCUUACCAACCCGAUGCAAACUGCGAAUACCGGAGAAUGUUAUCACGGGAGACACACGGCGGGUGCUAACGUCCGUCGUGAAGAGGGAAACAACCCAGACCGCCAGCUAAGGUCCCAAAGUCAUGGUUAAGUGGGAAACGAUGUGGGAAGGCCCAGACAGCCAGGAUGUUGGCUUAGAAGCAGCCAUCAUUUAAAGAAAGCGUAAUAGCUCACUGGUCGAGUCGGCCUGCGCGGAAGAUGUAACGGGGCUAAACCAUGCACCGAAGCUGCGGCAGCGACGCUGAUGCGUUGUUGGGUAGGGGAGCGUUCUGUAAGCCUGUGAAGGUGGCCUGUGAGGGUUGCUGGAGGUAUCAGAAGUGCGAAUGCUGACAUAAGUAACGAUAAAGCGGGUGAAAAGCCCGCUCGCCGGAAGACCAAGGGUUCCUGUCCAACGUUAAUCGGGGCAGGGUGAGUCGACCCCUAAGGCGAGGCCGAAAGGCGUAGUC